ensembl:lncRNA
CCACACCAGGGAGAAACCAGAAGCCGGUCAGGAUAGAGGAGUCGAGGGGCCAGUGUGGCUACAGACGUGUUCUGUUCCUGCUCGGGGGAGCCUGCUCUGAUGAAUGGUACACACAGCGAGGAGGGCCACGAUGCGUCAGGACCACCCACUCAACCAUCGCUCCAAUUGUCCGCUCCCACAGAGCCAUUGCGUGUUCUUAGCAUGUCACCGUUCAAAGGGUGAUGCAUCUAAAGCUAGACUGUACACGAUGGGGAUGGCGACACUCUGGGAGUCCCCGUUCCUAACCUCUAUUGGUCCGUGACCAUCAUGAGGUCCAACCCUUGAAUCCCCAAUGCAAAACACACACUCUCCCCCGAGUACAUCCUUCUACCCCGACCAGCCGCUCAGCCACCCAGUGAACAGCAAUAGUGACAGAGAGCUGAAGAACAACUGUGAGUGUGAAUCCUGGCGGAUGUGAUGGGGUGGUCCAGCUACCUGUUCUCCUGUCUCUGCAGCACCAGCUGGGCGGUCCUGUUCUCCGAGUCCUCGUCCAGGGUCUGACCCACCAGGGACCCCCCGGCUGAAGCCCACGAUGCCGUUUUGGAAGUCGCUC